AAGGAAAUUCUGCUGUUUUUGGUUAUUAUCUUGAAUAUUAUUAUAGAUAGAGAUAAACUGUAAACAGCAAUAAUGUUCAGCAAAGUAAGAUUUACAAAUAAGUCAACAUGACCGAAAUGGUCAGUUGACCCCUUUAGGAGUUAUUGCCCUUUAUAGUCAAUUUUUAACCAUUUUUCGUAAAUCUCAGUAAUCUUUUACAAAAAUCUUCUCCUCUGAAACUACUGGGCC
rnacentral:lncRNA from 1 species